GAUGAACGCUAGCGGCAGGCCUAACACAUGCAAGUCGAGGGGUAGAAGUUGCUUGCAACUUUGAGACCGGCGCACGGGUGCGUAACGCGUAUGCAAUCUACCUUGUACAGAGGGAUAGCCCAGAGAAUUUUGGAUUAAUACCUUAUAGUAUUAUUGAGUGGCAUCACUUAAUUAUUAAAGUUCCAAUGGUACAAGAUGAGCAUGCGUCCUAUUAGCUAGAUGGUAAGGUAACGGCUUACCAUGGCUACGAUAGGUAGGGGUCCUGAGAGGGAGAUCCCCCACACUGGUACUGAGACACGGACCAGACUCCUACGGGAGGCAGCAGUGAGGAAUAUUGGUCAAUGGGCGCAAGCCUGAACCAGCCAUGCCGCGUGCAGGAAGACGGUCCUAUGGAUUGUAAACUGCUUUUGUACGGGAAGAAACACUCCCUCGUGAGGGAGCUUGACGGUACCGUAAGAAUAAGGAUCGGCUAACUCCGUGCCAGCCGCCGCCGUAAGAC
rnacentral:rRNA from 1 species